GACAGAGGAUGCAAGCGUUAUCCGGAAUGAUUGGGCGUAAAGCGUCUGUAGGUGGCUUUUUAAGUCCGCCGUCAAAUCCCAGGGCUCAACCCUGGACAGGCGGUGGAAACUACCAAGCUGGAGUACGGUAGGGGCAGAGGGAAUUUCCGGUGGAGCGGGUGAAAGUGCGUAGAGAUGUGGAGGAACACCGAUGGCGAAGGCGGGUCUCUGGGCCGGGUACCGACGCUGAGGAGCGAAAGCGUCGGGGAGCGAACAGG
rnacentral:rRNA from 1 species